GGUAGAGUAACACGUGGGCAACCUGCCAAAGAGGGGAUAACACUUGGAAACAGGUGCUAAUACCGCAUAACCAUAGUUACCGCAUGGUAACUAUGUAAAAGGUGGCUAUACUACCGCUUUGGAUGGGCUCGCGGCGCAUUAGCUAGUUGGUAGGGUAAAGGCUUACCAAGGCAAUGAUGCGUAGCCGAAUUGAGAGGUUGAUCGGCCACAUUGGGACUGAGACACGGCCCAAACUCCUACGGGAGGCAGCAG
rnacentral:rRNA from 1 species